UAGUAGCUGACGUGUAAGUCGCUCUGGUUAAGAGCGUCUGCUAAAUUACUUAAA
rfam:Salmo salar isolate Sally breed double haploid chromosome ssa13, whole genome shotgun sequence.